ACGAACGGUUAAAGUUGGACGCGG
rnacentral:miRNA from 2 species